rnacentral:rRNA from 1 species
GACGAACGCUGGCGGCGUGCUUAACACAUGCAAGUCGAGCGGUAAGGCCCUUUCGGGGGUACACGAGCGGCGAACGGGUGAGUAACACGUGGGUGACCUGCCCUCAGCUCUGGGAUAAGCCUGGGAAACUGGGUCUAAUACCGGAUAUGACUCCAUGACGCAUGUUGUGGGGUGGAAAGCCUUGUGCGGCUGAGGAUGGGCCCGCGGCCUAUCAGCUUGUUGGUGGGGUGANGGCCUACCAAGGCGACGACGGGUAGCCGGCCUGAGAGGGCGACCGGCUACACUGGGACUGAGACACGGCCCAGACUCCUACGGGAGGCAGCAGUGGGGAAUCUUGCGCAAUGGGCGAAAGCCUGACGCAGCGACGCCGCGUGAGGGAUGACGGCCU